AUUGAACGCUGGCGGCAGGCCUAACACAUGCAAGUCGAGCGAGCGGCGGACGGGUGAGUAAUGUAUGGGGACUUCCCGAUAGAUGGGGAUACCUACUGGAAACGGUGGCUCAUACCGCAUACUCUCGGCUAACCCAUAUGUGAUUAGCUAGUAGGUGGGGUAAAGGCUAACCUAGGCGACGAUCUCUAGCUGGUCUGAGAGGAUGAUCAGCCACACUGGAACGGAGAAACGGCCCAGACUCCGACGGAGGCAGCAGUGGGGAAUAUUGCACAAUGGGCGCAAGCCUGAUGCAGCCAUGCCGCGUGUAUGAAGAAGGCCUUAGGGUUGUAAAGUACUUUCAGCGGGGAGGCGUUACCCGCAGAAGAAGCACCGGCUAACUCCGUGCCAGCAGCCGCGGUAAUAC
rnacentral:rRNA from 1 species